CUAAACAACACAAGUGGCGGGAUUUAUUCUUGGCCAUUGAUUGUAUAUGUCAUUUCAAUGGUUUGGAUUCACUGUCACAAAUCUUGACAAGAUAGAUAUCUGCAUUAAAUUAACACUCUUAGAUCAAUUAUUUUCCUUUUCACAUUAACGUUCCAGAUUAAAAAAAAAUUGUUUAUCCUUUUUUUCUCUAUUUCAUCAUCUUCUUCUUUCCAAAUUCCAGAAAACUGCUGCCAUUAAUAACAGAGAUGAGGACAUAGAUGACGGCGAUGAUGGGGACGAGAUGAAGACAUUGAAGAUGAGAUGCAACUGAGAAGAAUAUAUAGUAGGAUCUUUGAGUAGAGUACUUGCUUAGUUUGGUUGGUUGAAACCAAGAUGAAGAGGACACAAUUGAUUUGGUGUAGAAGAAGUGAUGAAACAGAAGAGAGAAGUUGCUGAAGAAGAGCAAGAGGGCGAUGAAGCUGUGAGAGACUUCUAAAGAGGUAGUUUUCAAAGAACUGUCGACAACACAGCUCAAACACAAACAAAAAUAUAUCUUUAUAGUUUUUAAAUUUGGAGUCAUGAGAUCUGAAUCACUGGCUGAAAUUCAUGUAAGUAUUAUGGAGUAAGAAGUAGUAGCUAGCUUAAUUUCUUGAAUAAUACAUUCACCACUUUUCAAUUUAUGUGUUUGAAGAUGUUUUCGUUUGUACAUGUGUACACCUGCUUCAGAGUGUCUACUUCAUUUGAUGUAAAUGUGUACACACUACUUCAGAAUGUACAUAUAUACACUAA